rnacentral:rRNA from 1 species
UACGUAGGGUGCAAGCGUUAAUCGGAAUUACUGGGCGUAAAGCGUGCGCAGGCGGUUCGCUAAGACAGAUGUGAAAUCCCCGGGCUUAACCUGGGAACUGCAUUUGUGACUGGCGGGCUAGAGUAUGGCAGAGGGGGGUAGAAUUCCACGUGUAGCAGUGAAAUGUGUAGAGAUGUGGAGGAAUACCGAUGGCGAAGGCAGCCCCCUGGGCCAAUACUGACGCUCAUGCACGAAAGCGUGGGGAGCAAACAGG